GAUGAACGCUGGCGGCGUGCCUAAUACAUGCAAGUCGAGCGAACGGACGAGAAGCUUGCUUCUCUGAUGUUAGCGGCGGACGGGUGAGUAACACGUGGAUAACCUACCUAUAAGACUGGGAUAACUUCGGGAAACCGGAGCUAAUACCGGAUGAUAUUUUGAACCGCAUGGUUCAAAAGUGAAAGACGGUCUUGCUGUCACUUAUAGAUGGAUCCGCGCUGCAUUAGCUAGUUGGUAAGGUAACGGCUUACCAAGGCAACGAUGCAUAGCCGACCUGAGAGGGUGAUCGGCCACACUGGAACUGAGACGCGGUCCAGGCUCCUACGGGAGGCAGCAGUAGGGAAUCUUCCGCAAUGGGCGAAAGCCUGACGGAGCAACGCCGCGUGAGUGAUGAAGGUCUUCGGAUCGUAAAACUCUGUUAUUAGGGAAGAACAUAUGUGUAAGUAACUGUGCACAUCUUGACGGUACCUAAUCAGAAAGCCACGGCUAACUACGUG
rnacentral:rRNA from 1 species